AUGCCUAACACAUGCAAGUCGAACGGAAACGAAGCUAGCUUGCUAGCAGGCGUCGAGUGGCGGACGGGUGAGUAAUGUAUAGGGAUCUGCCUAGUAGUGGGGGACAACGUGUGGAAACGCACGCUAAUACCGCAUACGCUCUACGGAGGAAAGUGGGGGACCUUUUGGGCCUCAUGCUACUAGAUGAACCUAUAUUGGAUUAGCUUGUUGGUAAGGUAAUGGCUUACCAAGGCGACGAUCCAUAGCUGGUUUGAGAGAAUGAUCAGCCACACUGGGACUGAGACACGGCCCAGACUCCUACGGGAGGCAGCAGUGGGGAAUAUUGCACAAUGGAGGAAACUCUGAUGCAGCAAUGCCGCGUGUGUGAAGAAGGCCUUCGGGUUGUAAAGCACUUUCAGACGCGAGGAAAAGUAAUAGCUUAAUACGUUAUUACCUUGACGUUAACGUCAGAAGAAGGACCGGCUAACUCCGUGCCAGCAGCCGCGGUAAUACGGAGGGUCCAAGCGUUAAUCGGAAUUACUGGGCGUAAAGCGCGCGUAGGCGGAUAAUUAAGUCAGAUGUGAAAUCCCUGGGCUCAACCUAGGAACUGCAUUUGAUACUGGUUAUCUAGAGUAUGGUAGAGGUGAGUGGAAUUUCAGGUGUAGCGGUGAAAUGCGUAGAGAUCUGAAGGAACAUCAGUGGCGAAGGCGACUCACUGGGCCAUUACUGACGCUGAGGUGCGAAAGCGUGGGUAGCAAACAGGAUUAGAUACCCUGGUAGUCCACGCCCUAAACGAUGUCAACUAGGUGUAUGGGGGUUUAACCCUUGUGUAUCGAAGCUAACGCGAUAAGUUGACCGCCUGGGGAGUACGGCC
rnacentral:rRNA from 1 species